GUCUACGGCCAUGACACGCUGAACGUACCCGAUCUCGUCUGAUCUUGGAAGCUAAGUAGGGUCGGGCCUGGUUAGUAUUUGAAUGGGAGACUACCUAGGAAUACCAGGUGUUGUAGGCG
rnacentral:rRNA from 1 species